GGCAGGAGACCAGGAAGUGUUUCUCUUUCCUGGUGAUUCUCCGCAAAGAAACGUCUACGCUGGCUCUGAAAAUAACUGUGAUUUACGCUGUUUACGGUAGUUCAGAUUGAUCAUACCGAGAAAAAACAGGAAGCUUUUAUCGUGUCCUACCAAAAGGUGUCAUCAUAAGUGGGGAAAUGCAUGAAAUUGACCGGAAAACGUCGUCAAAAUGGCUUCUUGUAUUCACCCGUGGCCGGGAGAAGCAAAGUGGGAUAUUGCUUGUAUGCAGUGAGUCACCAUCUCGUUAAAGUUAUGGAUGUAAACAUGAGGCUCAAGCCAGAGGAGGGUACGAGAAGCUGCUGGGUUCUGGAGCAUGAGGACUUCUUCUCUUUAAUCCCACCUGGCUACACAUGGGAGCCCUGUCUGAUGGGAUUGUCACCUGCAACUGUGAUGGAACAGGGAUUUGUGAGAGAAAGUGCCCACACUGCAAGGAAAAAUGAGGUUGAUCAGCCAUUCUGUGCCAUUCAAUGAUGGAGAUGAUGUAACACCAGACAGGAGCCAUGUUUACUACUUAAUUCAAACAUCAACCGACAAAUUGAGCAAAGAGACAGAAAUGAACACAUUUAAAGAAGGAGGUGGAGGAGAAGACUGCAUCACCUGAAGAGGACAACAAAAGUAGUUAAAUGUUCUUAAACAUGUUCAGAGAGUCUUUAAUAAGCAUAUCCUCAUGUGUGCUCAACACUACAUUGAAUUUGGGCUGAGAAUAAAAUAAAGUGUCUCCAAGUGGUCAAA